GGGCAGAGAGAGAAGGAGACACAGAGUCCAAAGCAGGCUCCAGGCUUCGAGCCAUCAGCACAGAGCCUGACAUGGCUCAAACACAAACAGUGAGAUCAUGACCUGAGCCGAAGUCGGAUGCUUAACCGAUUGAGCCACCCAGGCGCCCCUAGUGUUAAGGAAUGUUCUUAGGCAAGACUGGGCCACCCCAGAGAAGGAUUAUGAAAAAGUCGACACAGAGUCUAUGGACUGUGAGAUAUCAUGCUGCUUGUUCCUGACCAUUAGUCAGAAUUUCCUUCCUUUCUAAGACUGAACGAUAUUUCACUGUAGUAAGUUGGAUUAAUUCAAGAACAAGCCUUCUGAGCUCAGUUGAUUCGAGAACGAUCACCCAUUGGAGAGUUGCGCUGCACAAGAAAGACUUCUUCACGUUGCCCCAGUACUCUGCUUUGAAGAUAUGCACAGUAAGGCACCAAGGGGACCAGUGGGACAUGCGUGCAAAUCCAAGUCUACCAACUCUCAAAAGAAAACUUUCCCGACUACAGAGGAGUGUCUUUGUAGAGAUUAAAAGAUAGCGUACAUCCCUAGGUGGAUAUACUUGCAUCUUUACAUGUGUAUGUAAAACAAAUAUAAGUUUCACAUUGCUUCCCACCUACCCACUGUCUUUUCCUUGUAAUGCUUUCCUUUGAGCAAAAAGUUAAACUUCAAGGGCACCUGAAGUUAAGCUUCUGACUCUUGAUUUCGGCUCAGGUCAUGAUCUCACGGUUUGUGCGUUCCAGCCUCGCAUCCGUCUUGACUCAGUGCCAUUGUUGUGAGAUCAUAUCCUAACAGCCACACAAUCAAUGCUUGGGGUUCCCUCUCUCCCUCUCUCUCUGCCCCUCCUCCACUCAAGCUCUCUGUCUCUCUCAAAAGAAAUAAUAAACUUAAGAAAAGUUUAACUUCUCAGUGUGUUUUCAUUCUAUGAUUAUUAACGAUUGACUGCUGUCAGGUCAAUUUAUGUAUUUGCCAAAUCAAUGGCAAGUUUAAACAAGCUUAAGAAGUUUGGGAACUGUCUGUAAGGUAGGUUCCAUUUUCCCACCGGCCCACUAAAUAUCUCGUCAUUGACAUUAUCGGAGAUUCCAGCCUAGUGAUAGAGAAAAACAUUUGAUUGGAUUCAAAAAGCAGGAAUGGAAGUGUGUGUGUGUGUGUGUGUGUGUGUGUGUGUGUGUGUUUAACAGUGUUAUUUUAGAGCAGUUUAAGGUUCACUGCAAAACUGAGAGGAGGAGACAGAGGUGUGUGGGGACAGGCACAGCCUCCCCCGUUAUCACUGUCCCCCACCAUGGUGGUACAUUAUUACAGUUGGUGAACCCGUAGUGAUACACCAUUACCCAAAGUCCAUAGUUAACUCUUGGUGGUGCACAUUCUACGGGUUUGAACAGAUGACACGUGAAUGUAUAACGUGUGGUGAGGAUGGCAGUAUGGGUUGUUUCUCCUUGGUGCCCUCUUUUUGUUUAUUGCCUGAGGUGACAAAACGCAGGUCUAGCAUCCAGUUACCCUGCAUGGAGAGCUAGCGAUUUCUGAGAUGCAAGAGUUAGCUGGGAAAACUACCGUCUUGUAGAGUUGGGUCAAUUCUUCCUACUUCUAAGAUGUGGCUGUCAGCUCUGCUGUGUGAGUGUGUGUGAGUGUGUGUGUGUGUGUGUGUGUGUGUGUGUUGUGGUAGUUUAUGCUUUCUGAUGUCUUUUCUUGAACGAGUAGUUUCCUUCUUGGGGGUGGAUGGAAUGUCUUCCGCCAACACUUAGGGCAGAUUACAUUUCCCCCUUAGUCCAACUCUGCUUACAACUGCCCUUGAACUAUUCGGUUACCACACUAGUGGCAUCAGAGCAAAUGCUCCUUGCUGAGAUGAAACCAGGCAUGAAAUAGGGUGGUGACUGGUUAAGAAACUGAAAUGAGUUUUGGUUCAAGGUGAGAAUUCACAGGCCUUGGUCCAGUGAGCCAUGUUUCCCAUGCUUACAUAUCUGUGAAACAGCUGUUAUAAAUUGAAACUCUGAGAAGUUUUCUCAGCAAAAUUGAAGAUUAAAAAAAAAGUCCAACUCUCCCUCCCCCCUCUUCUGUUGACAUAGCAUCUACCACAUUCCUCACAGCUACCUUUCCUCCUUGACUUGAGUACUCUGUGACACUCCCGUGUCCCUAAGAGCCAACUUCGUGGUCCUUGAAAUUCGGCCGCCAUUUUGAACACGGACUUUUAGAAAUAAUUUCUAAAAGAGGAAAUGUUGUAUACCUUUGUAGCUUGAUCAUUGAACUUGAAGUUCAUGAGCCUUACUCCUAUCAAUUUUUUUAACGUUUAUUUUUGAGACAGAGAGAGACAGAGCAUGAACGGGGGAGGGGCAGAGAGAGAGGGAGACACAGAAUCGGAAGCAGGAUCCAGGCUCCGAGCUGUCAGCACAGAGCCCAACGCGGGGCUCGAACUCACGGACCGCGAGAUCAUGUGCUGAGCCGAAGUCGGAUGCUUAACCGACUGAACCACCCAGGCGCCCUGAUAUAGUUUAUAAAUCAUUUCAGUUCUUCAUUUGUAUCACCCUUUUGCCUUUUCCUUCUGCCAUUUUCUUCUAUUUUCUACUUGAUUGCCUUCCUGCUCUUUAUGUCGUUUCUAUUUUUUUUCCUCAGCAUCUCGUGUUUAUAUUUCUCCCUGGGGUAUUUUUUCAAUUUUUUUCUUUUCACCUUUUUUUUUUUUACUUUUUAAUUUUAUUUUUAUCUUUUCCCUUAAUUUUAGUGACUAUCUGUUAUGCAACUAGUUCAGACUGAGGAGUGAGCUAGGUACCUGAGGAAUAUAAUGAAAGACUCUGCCCUUCAAGAAAAUUGGCUCCUUCAUAAAAUCUGGCAUGUCUCCCUUAAAUAACUAUAGUAGAAAACCAAGUUAUUUUUCCCGGCUUUGUCUUACUGUUCCUCAUUAACUGAAAAAGAGCCAAUUGAAUAUAUUUUUUAUUAUAAGGAACAGAAAAUAUAAUUUAAAUGUUUUCUUUUUCUUUUUUUUACCUUUAUAUGGUACCCAAUUGGUUUUCUGCCUUUUACAUCAAUGAGCCUUGGUGGAAAGAAACAGUUUCUCCAUCUCUGCAUAACUCCCUUUGUUUUGGCACAAGAAAGAUGUUAAGAAUAAAGGCCAGGUGUUGCAGAGACCCUCUCGAUUUAUACAUCUUCUCAUUAAGCCAUGCCAUACGGUCAGCUUAUAUUCAGACACCCGAUGGUCUUUCUAAUCGUGAAGUGUAUAAACCAGGGGUCCUCAAACUUGAGCCUACGCAGAAUCACCUGGAGGGGUUGCUGAAGCACGCAUUCCUGGCUCACCCCCCCUCUGAGUGUCUGAUUCAGCAAAUCUGGGGUGGAACCUGAGAAUUUGCUUUUCCAUCAAGGUCAAGUGGUGCUGCCACUGCUGGUUUGGGGACCACACCUUGAGGAUCACUGCACUGAGUUGAAUUUCAGAAGGUUACAAGACAGGUGAGUCAGUAGGGGGUUGGUGGAGGGUCUAUUCACCUAUUCUCAGUAUUUGGGUUCUGAGCGGUGAACCUUAUUAUUUUCUUGAUCAGGUUUAUUCCUAGAUAUUUUAUUCUUUUUGGUAAUUUGGCAAUUGUACAUGGGAUUGUUUUCUUAAUUUCUGUCUCUGUGACUUUGUUAUUAGUGUGUAGAGAUGCAAUCGAUUUCUGCAGGUUAAUUUUUUAUCCUGUAACUUCACUGAGUUUAUUUAUCAGUUUCCUCUAGUUUUUGGAUGGAGUCUUCAGGGUUUUCUCUAUGUGGCAUCAUGACAUCUGCACAUAGUGAAAGCUUUUGUCCUUCUUUACCGAUUUGGAUGCCUCUGCUUUCUUUUUCUUGUCUGAUAUCUAUGGCGAAGAUUCUAGUACUGUGUUGACUAGCAGUGGUGAGAAGAGCCUUGUCUUGUUCCUGAUCUUAGAGGAAAAACUCUCAGAUUUUCACCAUGGAGCAUGAUGUUAGCUGUGGAUUUUUCAUUAUGUGGUCUUUAUUACGUGGAGGUAUGUUCCCUCUAAGCCUCCUUUGUGGAGAGUUUUUGUCAUGAAUGGAUGUUAAAGUAAACCUUUAAAUCAAUGUAUCAUGUAAUACAUUGUUCUUAUUUCAAUGUUCUUCCGCUAUGAGUGAAGAAUAUGAUUAUUCUCAACCGUCAGAACUUCCAUCCCUGGUAUGGAUCCCAAGGGCAGGAGGACCCCCGCUUAGAUGCUGCUUAGCGUUUGCACGCUUCUCUCCAACCAGGUCACGUGCCACUACACAGAUUUGAGGUCAACUCUGACAAUAUUGUUUUUCUAAGCAAAGGAGCAAAAACACGAGCGUGACUCAGAUUAUAAAAUGUUGAUUUUGAAGACCUCCGGCUCUUACUGUUUUUGUAAUGUAAAGAAAUCUAAUCCUCUCAAACUGCCCUGCUGUGCUGUCCCUUGACGUCAUGUUUGUCUGGGCUUUGGAUUCAACGUUAAGAUCAUGGUUUCAAACAAAAAGAGAACGGCCCUUUUAAAAGUCAGAGUUUCUUUUAGACCCAGGCUGAGGACCGGCCAGCCACUGGGGGCAUGGACGUACAUCCCUGUGCACGCGUGGAUGGCGUGCACACGUCUGCCAAGGCACGUGUGCAAGCAGGACUAGAGACCUCUGGUGCGACCCAACUCACAAAGCAUCCCAAUACCUUACUGUUCAAGAUUCCUGAGGGUUAGGGCACCUGGGUGGCUCGGUUGGUUAAGCCUCCGACUUGGGCUCAGGCCAUAAUCUCUCAUUCCUGAGUUGGAGCCCCGCGUUGAGCUCUGUUCUGACAGCCCAGAGCCUGGAGCCUGCUUUGGAUUCUGUGUCUCCCUUCCUCUCUGCCUCUCUCUCUCUCUCUCUCUCUCUCC